ACCCUCAGGUGCCCUGGCGUCAGGUCCGGGUCAGCCGACUGCUGAGCGGGCAGAGCGGCAGCCUGGGGAGAGGAGACCCAGUGCUUCUAAAUGCUCGGUGCCGGGCGUCCGCGCGCUCCUGGGGCCUCGGCGUUCGGAGGCGAAGGGGCCGGGGAGGCCCGGGUUGGCGAGGCCACGUCCGGCUCUGGCCUGCGCGGCCCCGCUCGUUCCACGCCAGCGCUUGCCACCCCCGGCCGAGGGCGGGCGCGCCGCCGACAGGCACUCCCGGGGCGCAGGCCGCAGCCUCGCGUCCACCCUGGAGCCCGGCUCUUCCUCCCCGUGCUGCCUUCUCCUGUUUGCUCCUGCUCCCCGGGUUCAGGUAAGUGCCUGCAGGAGUGUCAGGAUUCCUGGUUGGCCCCCGCCAUGGAGGCCUCCAUAUGCCUACCUCAGAGGCAUGAUAAUUCCUUACAAUUUACAACAGCUCCGAGUUCCCGUCAUGGCUCGGCGAAUUACAAACCCGGCUAGUGUCCAUGAGGAUUCAGGUUCAAUCCCUUGGCUCGCUCAGCGGGUUAACGAUCCAGGGUUACCAUGAGCUGUGGUGUAGGUCACAGACUGGGCUCGGAUCCUGCAUUGCUGUGGCUGUGGUGCAGGCCAGCGGCUGCAGCUCUGAUUCAACCCCUAGCCUGGGAACCUCCAUAUGCAGUGGGUGCGGCCCUAAAAAGCAAAAAAAGGAAAAACUUACAACAGCUGGAAUGUCUUAUUUUGCGACUUUCCCUUUCCCAUCUGAGGGAUCUGAGUUUUUAGGUUUGGGUCGAAGGGCCAAAUGGCAGCACCCAGCCCAGAGGUCUUUCCCCUGUCGCGGCUGUCACCAAAGGGGUACCAUCUGCCUCUCAGGAAGAGCACGGUCCUGGGCCAACCUGCAGUUAAAGCAGGGCUCCCCUUCUCCCCAUCUCAGCCAGAAUUUCCUGCCCAUUUUCCUGAGUUUUCCAGCUCAGCUUCUCUGUCAUUGGACAUAUUUGGCCAGAGCCUCUCACUCUCACGCCCUUGCUGGUCGCCCUCGCUAGUCACUGACUUGUUGCCAUGGCAGCAGCCUGUCCCAGAGCUGGCGCCCCUCCCCUUCCCCGCCAGGUUUGCACGUUCCCAGGCAGUGGCCCUGGAGAGCUGGGACACGGCAGGGGAUGCCCUACCCAGGCUUGAGCGCCAAGAGUUCGAGAGCUGUUUUCCCAGAGGGCCGGGCGGCAAGUUGGCCAAAUCUGCCCCGUGGGAUUCUCUGGCUGGGUGUAAUGCCACAGCCCACCCCACUGGUCCCCCUGCUGGCCGCUCAGUGAGCCUUGGAGGUCAGGGUGGGAAGGUCAGGGUGGCAGGAGGGGCACGCAGAGCAAGCCCAGGCCGAAAGCCAGGCCCCGCCUGCUGGCCUAGGUUGAGCCAGACAUGGUUGGGGUGGCGGCGGCAGGCUGGGUGAAGGAGGCUGCUCCUAGGGGCCGGGGUGGCAGAAGGAGCUGGUUGCAUGGACCCUCCUCUUGGAUCUUCAUACGGCCCGAGAAGGCGUGGAGCUGGGCAGCUGCGCCCAGGGCGGCAGCCACCUAUCUCCGCAGGCUGCGUGCUGCUGUGCGGCUCAUCUCCUGGCUUGGUGGACUUGACACCAAGGUCCCUGACUUGCUCCACGGCUUCUGUCCUCACUGGUGGCUCAGCUCGAUGCUUCCUCCAGCCCCGUCCACAGUCUGAUUAUCUCAGUGUUCCAGAUGUUCCUGUGCUGGGCUGAACUCUGCCUCAUCAGAAUGUCCACCCUUCUCCCAACCUCAGGCUUUUAUUUUCGACACAGAAACGGGAAACUGGGGGAAGGGAGGCUGAGUGCCAUGGCGAUAGAGCGAGUGGUCUGAGGGCAGCAGAUGGAAUUAUUGGGGGUCAGCGGGAUGCCUGAGCUGGUAAGCAGAGGCCCUCGCCCAGGGACUGCUGGGUGUCCUGUAUGGCGGCUGCGCUGACUGGAGCAAGGCCUACAGGCUGGCCCACAGCCAGAUGUGCCUGUCCCGCUGUGCCCUUUCCUGCUCCAGCACCCCCACCACCCCCCCGCCCUCGCCGUGCUUUUUCAUCUCUUCCGGCUCUUCCUCCACCCUGGCACACGCACACCUGAGCCGCUGAGCGGCCCCUUCCUUGGCCUGCGCUGCAGGCCUGUGCUCUGGGCAGGUGCCUGAUUCCUCUCCUUACAGGGAAAAAAGGACGCAGAAAAGAGAGGGGCUUAGGGUAAGAGGCAGAGUGGAAGGGAGCCUUCAACCAGGCUGAAGGGACACUGCCCGGGAUGGACUGGGGCUACCAGGCAGCUCUAAGGGCCUGGGUUGGGGGCCAGGCGAGGCUGGUCCGGGGAGAAUUCUGUUUCUAGUUGGACGCUGUUUGACAGCCCGAGGGCCUGUGAAGGAUCCCUUUGACCGGAGGCCUGGGGUAAAACUAGACCUCUUCCUUCUUCUCGUAGCUCCUCUCUGAGUCUUGAGCUGCAAACUGGCCUCUCCUGCUGACUUUCCCAUUUCCGCUCUUCUGGGCCCAGGCGUCCACCUCAGGGUGAUAGCUCUCACUUUCCACGUCUAAUCAGUUAUCAAAUGCUGAAGGUCCCUCGCAAGACAGUUGCCUUUUAUUUCCCCUUCCUCCGCCCAGCCCACGUGCCUGCUCCCACGCCCGGGCCACUGUGAUAGCCUCCCAGCCGUGACGGCCUCUGGUCUGUCCAGAGUCACGUCUGGAGUCAUCUUUCAGGAGGAUGGCGUCACUGCACAUGUUACUCCCACGCUUCGUUUUGUGUUUUUUUUUUUCUUGGCUGCACCCAAGGUGUAUGGAUGUUCCUGGGCCGGGGAUCGAAUCCAAGCCACAGCUUCGGCAGCAUGGGAUCCUCAACCUGCUGCACCACAGCAGGCACUCUGUUAGUCCCAUGUUCAUUGCCUUCCGUGGUGCUCCUUAUGGCUUGCUCGGUGCACUACAGACUUGUGGCGCAGCGGGAAUGAAUCUGACUAGGAACCAUGAGGUUGCGGGUUCCAUCCCUGGCCUCGCUCCGUGGGUUAAGGAUCCAGCAUUGCUGUGGCUGUGGUGUAGGCUGGCGGCUGUAGUUCCUAUUUGGCCUCUAGCCUGGGAACCUCCAUAUGCCGCGGGAGCGGCCCAAGAAAAGGCAAAAAAGAAAAAAAAAAAAAAAAAAAAAAAAAAA
rnacentral:lncRNA from 1 species